rnacentral:rRNA from 1 species
UGUACACACAAUGCAGCAAACCAGCGAACUGUUGUUGUCCCUCGAGGGGCCUCAUCCGGAGGUGAGGCCGCUGAUGGCUUGGAUCGGCCGAGAGGCCGGCCCGUGGGCGAGACGGGUGCUUGCCGUCGGCCGGGGUGUCCCAUACUUGCGGUUCUGGUCGUCGGAGGCUUGGACUCCCCUGAUGGGGGAAGAAAAGCCGGCGGCGGCCGGGGUCGGGCCCUCCCCUCCCCCUUUGUCUCCGUCUUUGGGGGCUCUGGGGCCGCUUUUUCCACAAGCACCUUGAGGAACAUGAAUGUAGAGACUGAGCCUGGGGCCUUGCAUUGCCUUUGCGGGCAGCGCAACGGCCCGAGUCGAAAACCAAAACAACGACUCUCAGCAACGGAUAUCUUGGCUCUUGCAACGAUGAAGAACGCAGCGAAAUGCGAUACCUAGUGUGAAUUGCAGAAUUCCGCGAAUCAUCGAGUCUUUGAACGCAAGUUGCGCCCGAGGCUUGUCCCGAGGGCAUGCCUGCCUGAGCGUCACCGCACUCCCACCUGGAAAUCUCUCCAGUGUGGAACUGGCCGUCCGGGACCCGGCGUGAAGCUAUGGGUUCCGGUUGGCUGAAAUGCAGCGAUCUGGACGCAGCCCGAGAGAGAGGCCGCGAGAAGGUGAUCUGCCCUUUGUUGGGCAGAGUCUAAUUGGACAGCGCCUCUCCUCUAGGGCGGUCUGAUCGGCGAGCAGGAGGGCGAGCCUUUGGUUCCCUCCCCUGCAUCAGUGGGGGGAGUGCGAGUAACUCCGCGCUUCCCCUCCCUAUGGCUUGGACCUCAGAUCAGGCAAGAUUACCCGCUGAGUUUAAGCAUAUCACUAAGCG